GAGGCAGUUUGUUUGUGAAGUUCUUGUGGUGAGCCUUGACAUCGGUGAGCAUCCAUCUCAACUGAAGGCCUCAGAGUUGAUUUUUCUUUGCCAUUGAGAUACCAACAUCUACCACCAGAAACCUACCCUUCAGCUUACAGCUCUUUUCACAGGUGCAUUUCCCUUCCAGAAUCACGGAAUUAUCAAGGUUGGAAAAGACCUAGAAGAUCA